UUCCAAACCUCUUCAAACCCUGCCUAACCGAACAAGCCCUAUUCUCCGCCUACAGUAUCCGCUCACCUCUCUGUUUGGUUCAUCCAUCAUGUUAGUUGUGAUGGUUCCAGUGAUUGCUACUUAAGUUAUAAAGGUUCGACGUAUGGCACUAUACUGAUUGCGCAAGCAGAUGACAAAGGUAAUGGAUGGGAUUUAGGGUUCUUGAAUCAUCUGAAGCCAAACCUGCGAAGAGCUCGUGGCUGGAGAAAAUAGUUGCUCCGGUACUGAAAUAAUGUCGACUUAGAUUCGUCUAUUGAAGUUUUAUUUUGAUUUACCUUUUUUUAACUGUUAUGUCUAUUAUAUCUGAAAUCUGUUUUGUCUUUCUCCACUUGUA